rnacentral:rRNA from 1 species
UACGUAGGUGACCAGCGUUGUCCGGAUUUACUGGGCGUAAAGAGCGCGCAGGCGGUCGUUCAAGUCGAGUGUGAAAGCCCCCGGCUCAACUGGGGAGGGUCAUUCGAUACUGAUCGACUGGAAGGCAGGAGAGGGAAGCGGAAUUCCUGGUGUAGCGGUGAAAUGCGCAGAUAUCAGGAGGAACACCGGUGGCGAAGGCGGAUCUCUGGGCCAUUACUGACGCUGAGGAGCGAAAGCGUGGGGAGCGAACAGG